rnacentral:tRNA from 1 species
AGAGUAGCUCAACUGGUAGAGCACCGGCCUCCAAAGCCGGGGGUUGCGGGUUCGAUCCCUGCCUCU